rnacentral:tRNA from 1 species
GGGGCUAUAGCUCAGAUGGGAGAGCGACUGGUUCGCAAUCAGUAGGUCAGGAGUUCGAUCCUCCUUAGCUCCACCA